UCCUGACUUACACUCAAAAAAAUCCACACGUAGAUGCUACGUGAAAAAUCACGUAACCCCAAUUUUCCCCUCCAUUGGUCUGUUUUACGUGACACACGUAAAAAUAAUGUGAAUGUGUACCGGAAAAAAAAAAAUACUUCACGUUGAUGCUACGUGAAAAACCCUAUAGUAUUUUUCCACUAGGUUUAUUCAUGUAGCUUUGAUGUGUUUUGAAAUGUAACUCCAACGAACCCACUCGAGUGCGCCAAAUUUCUACGUGAUUAUUUUAGUAUGAAAAUUGACGGCGUACGGUGAAGACCUCCUGCCGGACUGUUCCAGUAAAUUUUCUUUAAAAAUGUAAAAGUUGAAACCGGUAGAACAAUUUCAUUUCCCUGUAGCCUCUGGAAUUCGGUCCGGUGCCAACAUUAUCGACCUGAAGGACUCCUAAAAGGCAACCCCGGUUUCUUCAGAAGGAAUGGCCAUCAAGGUCUGUGCUACCGUGGUGACACCACCGGAACUGCCACGGACGUGGUAUCGCCGAGUGUGUCGUCUUAAAUCUGAUAAUCUACACCGGGUGCUUUGCGGUCACCUUCAUGCCGGCCAUGACAAGUUUGAUGCCCUCGCGUGUGACGCUAAAGAGCAGGAGCAGCAGUUAAACGUAGUCCACAAGGCCAAGGACUCCACCAAUCGUAGAUCAACGGUGAGAAGGCCAAGGUCAAGCCCAUCGUCGUGGUAUUUCUUGUUUGGAAGCAUAAUAUAAGAAGUGAUCUGUGUUGCAUCGGUGAGAUUGUUCAGAAAUAAAUGAUGUUUUGAUAAAUAUAAUAAGUUUGAAUAACAUAAUUUAAAACAGAA